rnacentral:rRNA from 1 species
GAAUUAAAUUUAAAUAAAAAAAUGUUAAGAUUUUUUUACUAGUAGAAUAUAAAUUAUAUUUAGUUAUAUGAUUUAAUCUUCUAAUAUUAAAUUAAAUUAUAAAUUUAUUAUUAUAUAUAUCUUAGCAAUAAAGUUUUAUUAUAUUUAAUUAAUAUUUAAAUUAAUAAUGUUAAAAUUAGUAAAUAAUAUUUAUUUUAUUUAGGAACUCGGCAAAAAUAUUAUUCAUCUGUUUAUCAAAAACAUAGUUUUAUGUAGUAUAUAUAAAAUGAAACCUGCCCACUGAUUAUAAUUUAACGGCCGCAGUACCUUGACUGUGCUAAGGUAGCAUAAUAAAUUGACUCUUAAUUAGGGCCUUGAAUGAAUGGAUAAAUGAAUAAUUUCUAUCUUAAUAAAAAUUGUUUUAAAUUACUUAAAAGGUGAAAAUUCCUUUAAUUUAUUUAAUAGACGAGAAGACCCUAGGAGUUUUAAAUUUUGUUGGGGCGACAAUAUAGCAUAUAACCUAUAUUUAAUAAUAUUAUAAAACGAAUAAUUUUAAUAAUAAAUAAACUACCCUAGGGAUAACAGCACAAUUUAAAUUUAAGUUUGUGACCUCGAUGUUGGACUAGGAACUUUUAACAUUAACAAUGUUAACUGGCAGUUCUGUUCGA